AUCUACCUGACAAGUCCCAAACAGGAUGAAACGCGCGUCCUGAAU
rfam:Schistosoma mattheei strain Denwood, Zambia genome assembly, scaffold: SMTD_contig0001863